GAUCCUGGCUCAGGACGAACGCUGGCGGCGUGCUUAACACAUGCAAGUCGAACGGAGAAUCUGUGGAACGAGGAUUCGUCCAAGUGAAGCAGAGGACAGUGGCGGACGGGUGAGUAACGCGUGAGGAACCUGCCUUCAGAGGGGACAACAGUUGGAAACGACUGCUAAUACCGCAUAACACAUGGGUGUCGCAUAGGCACUGAUGUCAAAGAUUUAUCGCUGAAAGAUGGG
rnacentral:rRNA from 1 species